rnacentral:tRNA from 1 species
GCCUGGAUGGCUCAGUUGGUUAGAGCGCAGGUCUCAUACUUCCGUAUGACCACUUACUGGGUGGGCAAUCCUGAGGUCGUGAGUUCGAGCCUCACUCCGGGCA